ACCAGACUCCUACGGGAGGCAGCAGUGGGGAAUAUUGCACAAUGGGGGGAACCCUGAUGCAGCGACGCCGCGUGGGUGAAGGAGUACUUCGGUACGUAAAGCCCUAUCAGCAGGAAAGAAAAUGACGGUACCUGACUAAGAAGCCCCGGCUAACUACGUGCCAGCAGCCGCGGUAAUACGUAGGGGGCAAGCGUUAUCCGGAUUCACUGGGUGUAAAGGGAGCGUAGACGGCCAUGCAAGCCUGGAGUGAAAGCCCGGGGCCCAACCCCGGGACUGCUCUGGGAACUGUGCGGCUGGAGUGCGGGAGGGGCAGGCGGAAUUCCUGGUGUAGCGGUGAAAUGCGUAGAUAUCAGGAGGAACACCGGCGGCGAAGGCGGCCUGCUGGACCGCGACUGACGUUGAGGCUCGAAAGCGUGGGGAGCAAACAGGAUUAGAUACCCGAGUA
rnacentral:rRNA from 1 species